rnacentral:lncRNA from 1 species
GGAUUUCAAGGUCUUCUUUAGCUACAUAGUGAGGAUGUCACAUAUCCCAAAUUGGCCUUGGAUUCCAGACCUUCCUGCCUAAUCCUACAAGUGGGCUUCUUCACAGCCUCCAAGAGAAAGACCUUUCCCUGCGAUGCAAGUAGGCUAUUGAGGUUUGAUCAUUUAUCCAAGGUUUAUGGCUUUGAGGCUGGACUUAGGUCAGGAUCUGAGCUCUGGAAGCUGGGAGGGGUGGGACUUCAUAGAGACUCAGGUCUCUCUGUGCACCAGAAUUCGCUGAACUGGAGAACUCCCCAACCCUCUUCCGAAACAGCUCUCUUCAGGCUGGGGGAAGAACAAUUUAACUUCGGCUGCUGGCUGUUGCAACUCCGCAGGUUCCUUCCCACCUAUGCACCUAGGCAGAGCUGGAAGGAGAACAGCUAUGGCGCUGGAGGGCAGCUGCCCCGGACUCUGGUUUCUGGUUCUGGCUGCACGGCUAGAAGGUUGGACUCCUGCUUCAAUCUAGGAGCACCCGCUUUUCAUCUGGGAAAUGGUGCGAGCCUCUGAGGAAUUAUCUGUGGAAAUUCACAAGAAAGCAUCCAGCCGGUAGCAGGUGCUAGGUGGAAGCCGGCCCCCAGUCACUCUUAGUUCCAAGCAUCCAGUUCUGUUCGGUCCAGGUCAGUGAGUCCAGCCUCCCAGGCGUCGUGAAUCUGCUAGGGUCAAUGCUUCAGGGUACCAGGGUCUUUCAGUCGGCACUGAAAUCUUCCUAGACUCUUAGGUCCCACAGAACUUCCUGGCUUAGAGGGACAGGAGAUGCCUCAGGUUUCUUGGGCUUUCCUAAAUUUGGACAAGCACGGGGUUGUGUGAGCGGCGGGGGGUAGGGAGGAUAGGGUACUGGGGAGGUGGUGGUGCUAAAUACCUGCAUUUUAAAAUGGUUCUACCACUUUCUGGCUCAGAGACCUGAGGAAAUGACUCCUGCUUGAGCCUGGGUUUCACUAUCUAUGGA